GGGAAUUCUCUGGAGAAAAGAUCAGUAGGCAGAGCUCUGGGGAAUAGAGCUCAAAGGCAAAGAAAAUGCUAGUUAAUAGUACAUUGUUAAUGUUAAAUUGUUACUUGAAAAGUUUCUACAAUGCUUAAAACUGCUAAGUGUGGGGAAGGAAAAAAGCAAAAUUGUUUUGCUUUGCUACAAGAAGGGGAAGACUGAAAAGUUAACUGAAACCUGGAUAUCAGUCUCUUGAAAGAUUGUUAGGGACUUGCAUCAGCAGAUUAACAUCUUUCACUCCUUUGCAAGCUUCUUAAGUGGUUUAUCUGAAGGUGUGCAAUGUUCAGGGACUAGUUUCAGAAAAGACUUUCAGUACCCUAAUUGUGGGCUUUUAAAGUAUUUUAAGAUUUGGUACAGGCUUAGAUGCCCUCUUCUGGGUUUGUAACAUUUUUGUUCACUUGAUAUUUUGCAGUUGAAAGUUUGAGCAAAGUGAAAACACAAUGGUUUUUAAAGGAGUUUUAUAUGUUACUUCCUGCCUUAUAAACAUCUUAUCUUUUCUUUGUGAUGAGUAAUUAGUAAUAGCCAGAGUGCUUUCUUUUCAUCCUCAUUGUAACAAGGAGAACUUAAAUCGUGAUCACUCUAAUUACUGUAAUAUUUGGUAGCAAACAAUCUAUGUACCCUUGCU
rnacentral:lncRNA from 1 species